ensembl:lncRNA
AGAUACCUUAUUUAUAUGACAAACUGGAUGACAGACUGAAUUUUUAUAUGACCAAUUGGAUUAACGACCAAAGGCUGGAGUACAGAUCAGUGUGAGAGGAUGAUUUGUAAAGAGGCAGGAAAGAAAAAGUGUGAGAGAACUGAAUUUUAGGGGCUUUGGUUUUAACACAGCUUUAUAACACAAUUCUCAAGGUGAAGUGAUUUUGUUGUUUUGUUUGUUUGGUCUGCUUUUGUAUUUGACGAUCGAGCAACCUUUUCUCCAAGCAUUGGGAUGUGGAAAGGGUCAACUGGCAGAGGUACAACAGUUGCUCUGGGGGAAGAAACGAGAAAGGUAGGCGACUGCCAUCCGAAAUGACUCUGCUGGGAGAGCUCCUGAAAGGGAAACUGCCCUUUGUUUGCAGCCGACUCUGGCCUUUGACAUUUUCUCCUCCGAAAUAAAACUCAACAAUACCGCUCUGUUCAUUUUUAAAAUGUCAGGUUGGGGCAGGAACAUUUUGUCUCGUCUAGAAUUUAUCUUGAAGCGCCUGCCUCACAUUACUUCACUCUAGGAUUUAUUUGGACCCGGAGCUCUCAGAUGGCCCAGGAAAACCGCCCUGAGAGAAGAAGAUGCCGCUCUGGUGCAAAAAUGAAUGUGAACUUUUGGCUGCGCUGGGAACUUCAGUAAGGGCGGGAAACAACCUUCGUCGUCUGGACUCUGUGCUGCCAGCCUCUAGGAUUCUCUCCCAGCGGCGCCAAUGUCCCUGUUGCGCUAUUUUUACGGUGGUGUUUUGUUUUGGGGUUUUUUUUUUUUACCUCAGACUUUCCAUUGCGCAGGGAAGCAAUGAGCCCCGGGAAUCUGACAUAGCCGGGUCACAACUAUUUAUAGCUGCAAUGUUGGGAAGGUGGCGGGGUUGCCUGCCAGACUGCUGUAGGUUUCCCUUGCCUCCAGCUGAGAGGGAAAAAUAUACCAUCCGCAACACAAGGCAGGCAACAAGGCAGGCAGCUCCCAAGAUGCAGGAAAUCCAGAGCUGCAACCUCCAUUGGAAGACCAGGAGGAAGAAAGACACACACAAGACCCAAGCAACUCAUUAAUUCUGUUGUCAAACUGCUAUUACAGUAAAGACUUCUCUCCUAAAGUUCAGCCAGAACCUCCCCUCCUGUGCAUUUGUUAGCUUUAGCCUUCUCAUGCGUACCAGAGAGCAGGUUCUUGCUCAUGUAAUAUCUCUUCAAGCAUCUGAAGAACAUUAUCAUGUGAUAUCAUUUCCUCUCUUCUCCAUAGCAAGUAUACUCAGUUCUUUCAGUAUCUUCCACAGUAUUGAAGUCAGACUGAUCCAUCACCUUUCACUGGGGUUUGCCUUUUCAUAUUUCUGAUAGACAGCUCUGUUUCUGUUCUUCUGGCACCUCACCCAAUUUUCAAGAUUUCUCAAAGACCCAGUUUCUUUAGUACCCUAGAGUGCAAUUCAUCUGACCCUGAAGACUGUCACUCUUUUAAGGUAGCUAGAUAGUUCAGGACCAGCUCCUUAUCAAAGACUGAACUCCUGGCUCCUCAGGAGUCACAUGACUUGCACAAGGAUACAUACGAUUCCCCUGAGGGAAGCCCAGACAAUAUAGGAGUUGAAGAGUUUUGCCUUCUUUGUGCCCUCUGCCAAGAUUUCACCAUCAGUGCUGAGAGGAGGGCUACCAGUUUCUCCUUCUUGUUGUGAAUAGUCUGGGGGGGGGAGCCUGUUUUAUUGCUCUUAACAUGUGUUACCAGCCUCAUUAUGAAUGUUAGCUUACCUGCUAUUGGACCUACAAAUGUGGGCUACUUCUCUUAUUUUCAGCUCCCCACCAGGUUUUUUAUGCAGCCACAUUUACUAUUAAAAUGUCCGUAUUUUUUUUACAACUGGAAUUGUUUGUGGCGAUGGUUUUAAACCUUCUUUGUGAGCACUGACCCAUUCUGGUCACUAGUAUAUCUGAUCAUUGCAUCCUACUGCGGUUUUCUCUGAGCUUAUUUAAACCAUUCCCCCACUCAAUCAAUAUAUAUUUUAACAGGCUCACAUCUGGCCCUCCAUAAGAUCAUGGUUUCCAGCUUUAUAUAGUCACUUCCCCUCACUAAACCGAUUAAUGUUCUCUAAAUUAAGAAAUAGCCAAUUUCCUCCUUUCCUUCUGAAAGAGAAAGUUCUUCUUAGGGUAUAACAAUAAUUUGUUGGGGAUUCUCACUCCAGCGUGCGUGUUUCAACAUCAGGAUUUCCUACUCCAGUUUGUUGUGUGGGAAGAAUGCCGCUAAAUAAUGUUUGCCUUUUAGUUCCAAGAGCUAGCGGAAAUGGAGCAGGGAGGAGAUUUGGGACACCAGACGAGAAAUCUAAACCAGGUUGAAUUCUGAAAGACACGAUAAUCUCUGUUUAUGUGCUCUGCUCAGACUGGAGCCACAAUCACACCGUGCGAGGAGGAACUGGGUGUAAGUGAGAUCUGAGAAAAAGGGGAGUAAUUCUGCACGGGAAUCGCCGAGCACGAAAGAGAGGCUAACCCACGUGAAAGCGAUCGGUUUUAUUCGCACCUUCUUAUCCAAACUGUUACUGCGGCCAGCGAACGCGGACGGGACCGGCAAGCAGAACCGACGCUUGUCUCCUUGCUCAGCCCUCGAUCUCCGGAGGCAGUCCCAGCAAGCGGCUCCGGCCAUAAGAAGGCUGGGCGCCAACCCGUGGCAGGUGCUGCUCCCGCCGCAACCUCUCCAGUGGGUUCAGUGGCAAUGGACGUAGCGAGAAGGGGGUGCCUUUCCCGCUUCUCCCUGACACUCCUUGCUGGCCAUCGGUCCGCGGAACCACCAGACAGACGGAGCUGGAAACUGCGGGGUUGCCACGACCACCUCUUGCUCGCUCUCUUUCGCUCGCUCGCUCGCUCUGUGCAACUUGCCGAACUGCUUCGCCUAGCUGGAGGGCAUAGCCGGGGGCUAGUCACUUUCAGCGCCGGAGGAGGAAGGCAACUCAACUCACAAGCAGGUGGGCGAAGGACAGAGGGAGUUAAUGGUCCCGUUGCAGGAUUGAUUGGGAGCCCCGCUGUCCUCUCGCCCAGAUGCUAAAAGGCGCCCCAAGACGCUAUGGACACGAUCAGUACAGGGAAGGGCAGGGAAUCUCCUCUCCCCGCAGGCCACUGAAUAACAUUUAUCUCGUUGCCAGCGCGCACAGAGGCAAGGCUGGGGAUUUUUCCCAAGAGGCGAGUAGGGAUUUCCUUUGGUGGAGUCACAGCUCCUUUCAAGUGAGCAGCAAGAGUAGAAUAACAGCGGACCUCGGGGAGGUGCUCAGAUUACAUUGACGAGCACGGAAAAUGGCUUUCUUCCUACUACAUCUCUCCAUCCUCUUUCACACAUUAUGGGCCAAAUAAUGCAGGUUUCCUUAUGAUCUGCGCUUUACAGGGAGCUGCAUUCAAUUCCACCCCUUGACGAUGUUCAUAAAAUGAGUAUUUUAGUUUUUAAGGAUACAAUUUAAAAUGUACCGUGUGAGGACAUGCCGCUACAGUUCAUGUUUAUCCAUUCGGAAUAACUGCCAUUUCCAACUUCUAAAGGUACAAUUAUCCAUUGUAAACCUUUUCACACUAUUCAUGAAAAAGGAAAGAAGAAGGAAAUUCAUUUGUUACAUGCCAUCAAGCCUCCCCCUGCCCCACCCCUAGGAAUUUCCAUGGCCUCCUGGGGAUUUGAACUCAGGCCCCCACUACCCCAACAUUGCAUAUAUGCCACCUUCCUUUGGCCAGCCGGCUGAUGAGAGGACAAGAGUUUUGGUGUAAGGCAAUUUCAUUGACUCCUCUCGGUUCCUUCAGUUCGCACUCACGGUCGCCGGAGGAAGCCUUACAAGCAAUCACGUGCGUCCCGCUUUUUUAAAACAACCUGAACAUUUAGUAACACCCACAAGUUCCCGGCAGAAGAGACGCCGUUUGAAGACUGGCUCCCACGGAACAAACCUCUGCUACCUUUCUAGCCUCCUGACAUCUUCGCGAGAAGAAAGCGCGAGGCUGCAUCGGUAGGAAAUCUAUAUGCUUUUACUAGGAAAGGCUGUAGCGACCGGGUUAGGAGAGCGGGACGAGGGCGCCGUGAGUCAAAGCGGGGAAGAAAAGCCCAGCUUGCCUUACCCGCUGCUUGCCGUGGACCUGCCGGUAGCGCUCCUCUUCCGGAGGGAGUUGAUGGAGGGCCAACAUGCUUCGGCCGCCUCCUCGCCCGUCGCCCCCUUCUCUGGCUGAAGCGCUCCGCCCGGCUGCGAACACACACCGGCGCGGGGGUGUUGUGGCCCCCACACCGCUGGCGAGCAGGCAGGACUCCCUACCGAGUGGGGGGUGGCUCAGCAUUUUGUCCCUUCAGCAAUCCACACCAACCCCUCCCCAUGAUCAUCAUAAUAAUGGAGGGGGGGAAAUCAAUUAAAAAGCCACGCAUCUCCCCAGUCCUCUUCCUCCUCCUCUCUUUCCCCUCCCUCCACAAGCCGGGCUGAUAGGAAGAGUCUGGCGACGCUCUACCAAGAGGCAAUGGAGGGAGGAUCAAGCGGGGGGGGGGCAGGGGGGCACCCGAUGGGAUAAAUGGCUUGAACUGCCCCGCAUGCAGAACAAGGGGCCCUGAUGUGUCCAGGCAGCGGGACCCAAGUGUGUGUGUGUGGGGGGUCUGCCACAGCUCCGGCUUAAAGGAGACACCCCGCCGGCUUCUCUCCGUGACACCUUUCCCGAUCACCUACCCUCCGCGGUUCUCGGCGCCCACCUUUAAUCUCAAGGCUUGGCUGCGCUCCCUUCAGACGAGCGCUCGGACUCCAGAGGCAUCACCAAGGCUGCUGUCCCUUUCUUCCCGGCGGCGACCCUCAGGAAGGAGAGCCGCUUCUCUCCCCAUAACAACCCUCAUGCCCUGCCCCUCCCUUCUUAUCUCCUUAUGAAACAGUAUUAAGCUCUACCAAGUACGCGUUGGGUGUACCGAAGCUUGUAUAAAACCCUUUAAACAAAGUUUCCUUUCUUCCUUUUGCUUAAUGGGAGCCAGCCCCUACCAUAGGGGAUAUGCGCUUUUCAUAGGCAUUAAACACACACACACACACACACACACACACACACACACACACACACAGAGAGAGAGAGAGAGAGAGAGAGAGAGAGAGACACAGACAGACAGAGAGACAGACAGACAGACAGACAGACUACGAAGGAGGACCCCAGAACUGGCUUGGGGGAAGGGAGCUGAAGACUGACAGGCUAGUCACAAAAGACUUGGCCUACUUGCGCACACAUAUUUUAUGUUCUCAAAUGGAUUCCGAGUUAUGACAACUCUGGCAGGGUUUCCAAGGUAUGUGAGACAUUUAAGGAGUGGUUUUUACCAGUGCCAAUCUCUCUUUCCCCCUCCUUCCCACCUCUGUGAAUUUUCAUGGGCAUUCAGGGAUUUGAACCGUUAUGUAUUUGGCUGAAUACAUAACAAAUCCACCAUGUUCUGUUCAAUAUUGUUAAUAGUAUCACAAGCCUACGUACAUAGUUGAAUUUUAAAAAGGAAAAAUCUUAACUGUGCUGAUUGAUCAAAAUUAACCUUAUAGAACAGUUAUGGAAGAAGCAGAAAUAAAGCUGCCCGUACCAUACUGCUCUUAUAUAUG